AGCAAGAUGUUUUUGGGAGCUAACCAAAAUGUGGAGAGGAAGAAAAAUAUUUGGGAGUAGUAAAUUGGUGCUAUUUUGUUUGUUCCUCCAGUCCACUACAUGGGAAAAUCAUCUCCGCAGUUGAGCGGAAGGCGGCGGGAGCUAAAGGGCGAAACCUCCGACGACUCCAAGGGUAAGAAACCGGAAAUGGAGCCUGAACGCGGCGGCCAGGUGCCGGAGCAACGAAGGCUGCCGCUAUCGGAGGUGGUUGACGACUGCAUACACCGCUGGUUCCAAGACACGCUCAAGGAGGCCAAAACUGGCGAUAUCAACAUGCAGGUGCUCGUCGGCCAGAUGUAUUAUUACGGCUAUGGCAUCGCCAAAGACGCUAACAAGGGGAGGAUUUGGAUAAGUAGGGCUUCGAGAGUUAGGGCUUCGGUGUGGAAAGUUAGCAAUAAACGACCCGGUUAUAAUGCGAGUGAUUCAGAUUCAGAUUCAGAUGAGUUGGUGGGUAAUUCUUGAUCCAGUCAGCUCUGUGCUUUGUUGAUCAAUUUGGAGGUGAGUAGCUAUUCAACUUCUUUAUGCCUGUCUACAUCAGCGUAGCUUGAUUUCAAUUUUCCUUUUAAACUGUAACUUUGUUUCUGUGAUUUCAUCAGUUUUUGUUUUGGCUUCUGAAUCUACUCGACAUCUUAUUUCUUGCUUCUUGUUAAUUGAUUAUCUUUGUGCCGGUUCUACUUACUUAUAUUGAUGUGCUUUUUUCCAAUUAAAAGAGAAGUCAGCUUGUCUUAUUUCCAAUGGCAUGGCAUUUGGAUUUUGGGUCUGGGAAAGGAGAGUCGUAGGUAAGUAGCAUCAUUAUGGUGUUUAGAAUAUCUCAGUUGGAAAUUACAGACUAUACACUUGGUUUGGUUGUUUAUGCUCACUUAGAGGCCAAUAGGGAUAGGGUAUUGCUAACAGUUUACACUAUCAUUUUGUAAAAUUUGAAGAGUGUUUGAAGAAAGUUGUUUGUGGGAAUUGAUAGGGCAGCCUAUCACACUCCAAUAGUCUCCUAUCUGAUGCAUGAUUCCCAUUCUGAAUGAGUUGAUGUGCUUCAUGAAGCUGAUACUAGUUUGUGAGUGAUAUCUUGUACUUUAGCAACUGCUGCAUCCAAACUGAAAUAACAAUCUUUAAAAAUAAGUUAGAAGUUAUUCGUGGUAUGCAUAAAAGCUUCAGAGAGAAGAUUUCGUUUAUGGAUAUCUCAAGUGUUGAAAGAAUUAAGAGGUAAUAAUAAAGUAUUACUAUUUGCUGCGGACAGAAAACUUGAGGAGAAAAAACCCGUUGCCCUUAAAAAUAUCCAAUUCAGCCACCAUUUCAAAUAAUUUCACAUUGGAAGUAUAUACCAUAUAGUACUAGCUGCCAUAAUGUGUUACAACGGAUUCAGAUACUCCAUCUUGUGCCUUUAAAUUUUAGACACUUGCCUCCUGUAUAAUAUUAUUUUAAUGGUUGAGAGCAUGAUGAGUGCAUUUAGGGAAAAUAAUUUAUUGGUGUGUGUCUACUUACACCCAUGUAAUAUCUCCAUACACCCACCAAUUGAUGGUAUAUGAGGGGCCUUUUACUCAAUACACCCCAAACUAUCCACUCAACUCAAAUGAUAAGGAUCCUCUUAAUUCAUCUAGUCUUGUUCUUUAUUUAUCGCAAGUUCCUCUUGGAUUAGUUAUGAGUUGGGAUAUUUCUGAAGUGUAGGUAUUAAGUAGUAUUUAAAUAAGGCUGAAAUCAUUAGUUAGGAUUUGGCUGGGGAUUAAUUUUGUAAUCGGAACAAUUGCUGGGCAGGUGGUACACCUGUUAUUUAUGUUUCUUUUCUAUUUCUUUCUUCUUUGUUAAUAGAAACCAUCCACCUAGUGCUAUAUAUUUAGGGAGUUGAUUAAUGAUAUACGGCAGGAAUGGGGAUGGUGUUGGCUUGUUCCCGUUAAGGAAUUCAUUAGCAUGUAGUUUGGUCAUUAUAGAGGUCACUCUUCUCUUGGUACUCUUUGAGUGUAUGGAGAUAUAUUCCGAAUGUGUAGGAUAGCACACUCUUCAUUUAAUGUGGUAGACUCACAAAUGAAGAAUAAAAAUUGCUCCAAGUCUCUUAGAGAGUACAAAUAAAUGUAAUCAGUCUAACAGUAAGUCAUAAUUAAGCAAGAAACGUACAACUGAGAUGGAGCUUUCGUAGUGGUCUUCAGUCCUUAUUCAAGAAGUGACACGUUUGAAAUAUUUUCCACUUCUCUCCUUUUCUCAGAGCUUACAUUUUGUCUUGCAUUUGUUCUCCCUUUUUAUGUUAUGCUCUACAAACUGUGAAUGUGUAGUUCCAUAGAGCACAGAACUUGCACAGUCAACGACUGUGCAUUACCUGCCUUCGGUUGCAGGAUACUUGAAUCCUCGAUUUUCUGAUUUGAAUCGGAUUUUUGAUGAUCCAGUCUGUGGUGGGAAAUCUAAUGCAGGGUGAUAAAGAUGUUGAUUCAGUUUGUGCUAAAUUUAUUCGUCGUGUGCUUGAUGGCUUCCUUAGCUUGCAGUAUCCUUGUUGAAGUUGCUGCGCCUGGCGAGCAAAUUAGGAUGCUGCUGUGUUUGUGUACUCAUAUGUACUUUAUUCAUUUGACUCAUGUCAAACUAUUAUUUAGCAAAUCUUUUUAAUACGCUUGAACGAUAAAGAAUGUAAAAUUAGUUCAUGUGUUUUUCAAUUCUUUGUGUAGCUUGAAAUUAAAAGCUUCAGAAGAUGAUUGGAGCAUAUAUUAUUUACUUUAAUAUUAUGAUUCCAAAA